AAAAAAGAAAAGAAAAAAAAAAAGAAAAAGAAAAAAAAAAAAAAAAAGAAGGAAAGAAAAAAGAAUCAGACACUGGAAAAAAAAUUGUCCUUAAAGUUUGUAUGCGAAUCUUGCCACACCAAUUUGAAUGACCCCAUAUCAACCCUCAAAGGCCCCUCCCAAGGAUGAUGGAACUUGAAGGAAUUCUCUCGUAAACUGCUCUCAGUUAUUCCCUUAAAUAGCCAAGGGAAAUCUAAAGUUUAAAAUGAAUGGAAGAUCUUGCCAAAUUUGAUUAGAUACCAGGGCUACAAACUCUAAACCCACAUACUCCACAGCCUGUAUAUCAGAUCCUGGGAAGACCGGCAGCAGAUGGUAAAGUGUGAGAGUUCUUACCAGAGUCAGCUGUCCUGAAUAUCUCUGACUGGUUGGGAGAAGAAGAAUCUCUCCAAAGACUUGCCUGCCUCAUGUAGCCAACCAAGGACUCAAUAUACUUGAAGUUCAAUUAGGACUCAAUAUACUUGAAGUCCCACCUUGUAAACUGAAGCCUAAUAAAAUUCUUGGUUGCCAACAAGACUAUGUGAACUAAUUUCCAGUUUAUAUUUUAUAAAAUUAACUCUUUUCAAACAUCUUUGUACCUCAACUGAAACAAAGUGAUGACAGAUCCAUUACAGGGUAGAAGCCAGUGAUUCCUUGCGGGUAAUACACAUUACUCACAGUCACAUUCUGUUGGUGGGAACUCACUCACACAGCCACUUGCAACUGCAGUGUAGGCUAGAAUUGUCUAGCUCUGUCCCAAAGAAGGAAAAGCAGGCUUGGGGGUAGAUGAACACUUUCUACCAUAUCUUAGCACAGACCUAAAUGCAUGGAGAGAGUACACCUCAUACCCACUCACAAGAGAAUAACUCCAAAUGAAGGACAAGGUGGCCAUAGCAGAUGACACAGAAGAAUCAGCAUCUUCUCUAUAUGAUAAAGAGAUCAGGAUCUAAUUUCAAUACAAUACCAAAAAACCAAUAUGGUAUAGAGUUCCAAGAAACAAAAAAUUCAUAUGCAAGAACUGGU
rnacentral:lncRNA from 12 species